CCUACGGGUGGCAGCAGUGGGGAAUAUUGCACAAUGGGGGAAACCCUGAUGCAGCAACGCCGCGUGAAGGAAGACGGUUUUCGGAUUGUAAACUUCUGUUCUUAGUGAAGAAUAAUGACGGUAGCUAAGGAGCAAGCCACGGCUAACUACGUGCCAGCAGCCGCGGUAAUACGCAGGUGGCAAGCGUUAUCCGGAAUUACUGGGUGUAAAGGGAGCGCAGGCGGGGAGCCAAGUCAGCUGUGAAAACUACGGGCUUAACUUGUAGAGUGCAGUUGAAACUGGUUGUCUUGAGUAAAGUAGAGGUUGGCGGAAUUCCGGGUGUGGCGGUGAAAUGCGUAGAUAUUCGGAAGAACCCCGAUGGCGAAGGCAGUCAACUAAGCUUUAACUGACGCUGAGGCUCGAAAGUGUGGGGAGCAAACAGGAUUAGAUACCCUGGUAGUC
rnacentral:rRNA from 1 species